AAAUGAUUGAAGUCAGUCGUACCAUGAGUAAUCAGCCUUUUGUGUGCAAUUAUAUGGGUGCCGAGGAGCUUAACUGCCUUCACGCCUGUAUAUUUGUUCGCUUUGGGUGUAUUUGCUUGCAUGUAGGUUAACAUCAAUUUUGGUCAUCAUAAAACAACGAGAGGAAUGUAGCUUUGAUCUCAUAUUGAAGUGUUAUAGCCUCUGGUAGAUGUGAUGAUUGGGAUUGAGGAU
rnacentral:rRNA from 1 species